rnacentral:lncRNA from 1 species
AAUUAUUUUCUUGACCUAAUGCACUGUGUCACUGGGGGAUCUUUCUUCCUCUGAAUCUCUUCCUUGCAUUGUUCUCUUAUUUUACCAUAGUAGAUCACUAAAUAACUUCCUAGAUAAAACGCCAAGAGGUCAAAAUAUCUUUCAUCUAAUCUCAUGCUAAAUUGAUAGUUUAGCUGCCUAUAAAAAACUAGGUUCUGAAUAACAAAAGUUUUCCCUCAGAAUUUUAAAGAUAUUGAUAAUUAGCUGCCUUUGAUAACACACUGCUGCUGAUAAAUUUUCAUUGUGGUUCUCAUUUUUGUUAAUGACUUUUAUUAGAAUUCUUAUAGUUGUAAUUUGACUGUUAUUAUUGGUAGGGUGAGAGCCAUAGCUGCAGCAAUGCCAGGUCCUUAACCUGCUGCAUCAUAGCAGGAUUGCCAAUAUUUUAAUGCUCUUUUUCUUUCACUUUCGUGCUGCAGUUAAGCAAAAGAGUUACAGUUUUCUAAUUCUGACUGUCUAUUUACCACCUUGAUCAGAGUUUUGUGUAGUUUUUGUUUCAGGUUGAAGAACUUCUUUCAACACGUCUUGUUGGCAGGUAUAGCAGUGGUGAGCUCACACUUUUGUUUGAUGGGAAAGUCUUUAUUCCGUCUUCACAUCUGAAGGACAGCUUUGCGGACAGACGUGGCUGACAAUUUUUAUCUUUUAAUACUUUAAUAUGUCACUCUGCUCUCUCCUGGCCCGUAGAGUCUCUGUUGGAAAUCUACUGAUGGUUAAUGGGGGCUUUUUUUUUCCCCCUCCUGGCUGUCUUUAAAAUUUUUUUCUUUUUUCUUUUUCCUUUUAUGGCCACACCCGUGGCAUAUGGAAGUUCCUGGCCUUACACCAUAGCCACAGCCACACCAGAUCCGAGCUGCAUCUGCGACCUGCACCACAGCUUGCAGCAAUGCUGGAUCCUUAACCCACUAAGCCAGGGAUCGAACUCUUAUCCUCAUGGAUCCUAGUCGGGUUCUUAACUGGCUGAGCCCCAGCAGGAACUCCUAAAAUUACUUCUGCUGAGUUUUUAUACUUUCAAUAUAAUGUGUCUUGGAGAAGGCAUUUUGUAUUGAGAUAAAAUGUCUUCUAUUGGCUUCGUGGACUUUUUUUUUUAAUGAUUUUUACUUUUUCAUUAUAGUUGGUUUAGGCUUCAUGGCCUGCCUGCUCUGUUCCUUGCUCAGGGUGGGGAAGUCCUGCUAUUCUUUCUUAAACACACCCUCUACUCCCUGAGGACUCUCUUCCUCUGCUGGAAUACCCGUUAUUUUUAUGCUGACUUUUCUAAUGGAGUCGUUCUCUUAGGGUUUUUCACGUUUAAAAAUCUCAUUCCACCUCCUCACCCGAACCAUCUCUCGAUUCUGUCUCCCAGCUCACUCGCUCUCUUCCAUCUGACCCCAUGUCCCCAGAUGCUCGAACGUCUUCAUCUCAUUUAUUGAGGUUUUCAGCUCCAGAAUUUGUUUGGUUCUUUUUAGAGAUUCAGUCUCUCUGGUAAAGUGCUCCUUCUCUUCACUGAUUUUAUUCCUGAGAUCACUGUAUUACCUUUAUGAGUUUUCCUGUAGCUCACUGAAUUUUGCCAUAGCAGCUCUUUUGAAUUCUUUAUCAAUUAGAUCACAACAUUCGGUCUUGGAUUUGGUUGCUGGAAUCGUCAUUUUUUGGUGUGAGACCGUAUUACCAUGGUGUUUGAUGAGUUUUUCCUUUGCUGCUGCAUUGAAGUUGUGAAAGCCUUUGUAAUUUGGGUAAAGAAAGCUUUGCUUAUUUUGAUUCUCACAGUUCACAGGCUGGUAGUUAGGAGGCUUCCUUUUGUUUUCCAGAAGGUGGUGCAGACCAAAAGCUUUUGGUUUCUCUUGCAGGAGCCGACUUGAAACUAAGGCCAGGACAGGGUAAAAAGAAAGCUUGGUGGUGGCGCGACGGGAGGUCUGUGCUUAGCAUGUGGGGCUCCAGGGGGUCCCACAGCUGGUCAGGGACCCUCGUGAGGGGUCCUGGGGGUCUGCGGGCCAGAAUCCGGGGAGACGAGGAGGCGGGGAAGCUUCCUCAGAUCUUCGUCUGUCGUCCCUCCCCUUUCCCUCCAUCAGUGAGGCUCCCCCAGACAGCAGGUCCCUCUGCCUGCAGCACAGACACCCCCUUCCCCCUCCCUCCCUUCCCCAUCUGCCCCCCUCCCCUCACUGCCCAGCCCCCGCCCCUGAGGUCCAAGCCGCCCACGUUCCGGGCGCAGAUGGAGGGAUCUGUCGGGUGACCUGCUAUUAAAGCAGGACUGGGGGCUUAAUUUAAACUUCUGAACUCAUUUUAAUCCUUCUACAGCUCCGAAUAGCACUCUUAAACCUACUUUGAUCUUCUUCCCUGUGCCCUCAGAACCGCUGGAAAGGGCCCUCUCUGAGCUGCGCAUCAAGUACAUUUAGCCAGGCCGCUGCUCGGAGCAGGAGGAGAUGCUGUCCAGGGCAGCCGCUCAGGGUCUGAGCGUUUCUGGGGGCCUUUUGGCUGUUGGCCACGUUGUGUGUGAAAGGGAACGGAGAAUCCUAAUUUUAUAAGGCGCCACGCACCUUUGUCUAGUUGGGGCAGGUGUAACUGUAUGUGACAGAGGGGCUAAUUUGUGACCUAUGCAGAAAGUACUUACAGAUACUAGACGUGAUGGUUCCUGGGUCAAAUUCAUUAGGACCACGUUGUCCCGGAGGAAGACAGCCUGCUAGGUCUCUGCCUCCCAACAUGAGCACAAAACGCACACAGGGAUCCUGCUGCUCCCGGGACUGCAGACUGGUCUUCAGGCUUUCAAAGCCCUCGCGCUGGCAAACAAGGAACCAUGACCCCUCUUGUGGAUCGUGUGUUUGUCACCACACAGCUUGUGCCCAUCAGUUUCUUUCCUACUGCAGUGUUUCGUCCUGGUCCUGGCUUGGAGCUUUCCCGGUGUCACUUUUCUGUGUAAAGUGUACGCUGAGGUUCUAAGAUUGGCAUAUAUAGCAGUAUACUUGUGAACGUUUCAUGAAAAGUACUAUUGUUUUGAUGCUGCUAUGCCUCUAUCAGGAAUGGGAGUAAUCACCUUGGGUUUAGACUUUUUUUUUUUUUUUUUUUUUUUUUUUGUCUUUUUGCUAUUUCUUGGGCCACUCCCGCGGCAUAUGGAGGUUCCCAGCCUAGGGGUUUAAUCGGAGCUGUAGCCACCGGCCUACACCACAGCCACAGCAACUCAGGAUCCGAGCCUCGUCUUCGACCUACACCACAGCUCACGGCAACGCCUGAUCCUUAACCUACUGAGCAAGGGCAGGGAUGGAACCUGCAACCCCAUGGUUCCUAGUCGGAUUCGUUAACCACUGCGCCACGCCGGGAACUCCUAGACUUGUUUAAAGAACCCUUUGGAAGCUUGAGACUUAGGCUAGUUCAAAAUUUAGGUGCACUUCUAUUUACUGGAUAUAAUUUUGUUUUAUUUAUUUAUUUAUUUAGUCUUUUUAGGGCCACACCAGCAGCAUAUAGAGGUUCCCAGGCUAGGGGUCUAAUUGGAGCUGAAGCUGCUGGCCUAUGCCAGAGCCACAGCAACACAGGAUCUGAGCUGUGUCUGCGCCCUACACCACAGCUUCCGGCAACGCCAGAUCCUUAAGCCACUGAGUGAGGCUGGGGAUCGAACCCGCAACCUCAUGGAUACUACUCGGGUUCGUUUCCGCUAAGCCACAGUGGGAACUCUACCAUUUUGUUUUAAAAGGAAGAUAUAUUGCUUCUUUUCAUGAUUUGGUAGAAAGUGUAAGUAUUUUAUUGUUUGAGCUUCAAGAAUCACUCUGUGUGUGUGUGUCUCAUGCGUGCACACACGAGCGUCAUAUGCCCGACAGAUUCUUGGUUGAUAAGUAAGUCCAGAUAAAAAAUCCUAGUAUCUACCAAGGAUAAAGCAAAGAGAUUUUGUACAAUCCUUCAUUAUUCUUCUAAUUAUUUAGUAUUACAGCUUUUACAUACCUGCUAUUCAAACCAAUGGGAGGGUUCGAUGGGCUGACAGUAGUUUUUCGUAGUCAUGAAAAAUGGUCCACACUUUGAAACCCGUCGUAUGAGCCAUCCGAAUUUCAUUUACGUAGUAUUUUCUCAAGAUACUGCAAUAUUCCUACAUUUAUCUUAAGCUCAUUUACAAUCCAUAUUCACAGUUCUUUCUUCUCCGCAGCAUAUACAGAGGAAGGCAUUUGUUGCAGCGUGCAGGGUAUUUGCUGCUCACGUAACAGCCAGGUUCACCUAAUGCGACUUUACCAGACAGAGAGGAAGUCAAGUGUCAGCACACCUCUUUCAUCGAGAGGGUGCAAUUAUCUGGGCGGCUAUUUAGUGCAAGGAGAGCGGCAGAAGAGCUGUGUCGGAGGAGGUACUUUAAGGCCCAAGGACAGUUUCAUGGGAGUUCCCGUCGUGGCGCAGUGGUUAACGAAUCCGAUUAGGAACCAUGAGGUUGUGGGUUCGAUCCCUGGCCUUGCUCAGUGGGUUAAGGAUCCGGCGUUGCCUGAGCUGUGGUGUAGGUCGCAGACGCCGCUGGGAUCCCACAUUGGUGUGGCUGUGGCGUAGGCUGGUGGCUACAGCUCCGAUUGGACCCCUAGCCUGGGAACCUCCAUUUUCUUGGGCGGGAGCAGCCCAAGAAAUAGCAAAAAG